rnacentral:rRNA from 1 species
AUUGAACGCUGGCGGCAGGCCUAACACAUGCAAGUCGAGCGGAUGACGGGAGCUUGCUCCUUGAUUCAGCGGCGGACGGGUGAGUAAUGCCUAGGAAUCUGCCUGGUAGUGGGGGACAACGUUUCGAAAGGAACGCUAGUACCGCAUAUGUCCUACGGGAGAAAGCAGGGGACCUUCGGGCCUUGCGCUAUCAGAUGAGCCUAGGUCGGAUUAGCUAGUAGGUGAGGUAAUGGCUCACCUAGGCGACGAUCCGUAACUGGUCUGAGAGGAUGAGCAGUCACACGGGAACUGAGACACGGUCCAGACUCCUACGGGAGGCAGCAGUGGGGAAUACUGGACAAUGGGCGAAAGCCUGAUCCAGCCAUGCCGCGUGUGUGAAGAAGGUCUUCGGAUUGUAAAGCACUUUAAGUUGGGAGGAAGGGCAGUAAGUUAAUACCUUGCUGUUUUGACGUUACCGACAGAAUAAGCACCGGCUAACUCUGUGCCAGCCGCCGCCGUAAUAC